UAGUGACUGCCAGUCAAGUGUCAAAUUCCUAGCUUUUCCCAGCCGAUAGUUGGUCUCUAACUCUUAAAGAAAAUGAAGAUUUUUAAGUAAAUGAGCUCCCAAGAUUAUGGCGCCAUUUUCUCUAUAAAGUCGUUAGCCAUUUUUGAUGGAGAUGGCAAAACUAUUUUCCGGCUAGGACCAUUAGGCGAGAGCCGAGCCACACAAUCAAUCUCAUGCUGAAGGAUGAUAAAGCCGUUUUGCCGUAUAGUGGUGGCGCCCCACCGAAGAUGACAAAGCGCGAGUGCAGCCCUAGUCCUCCGUAGUCAAACCUUUGUAGAAGAAAAGUCGUCAGAAAAUGUAAAGCUUCGCCGGCAAUGAUUAACACGUUUGGUCGGGACUACUGUAACUGGAGCCAUUCGUAACUUUGAGAAAAUUGGUCCGCAUUUUCGUUUUUUUUUUCAAAUUGCUACUAGAGGCGCCCGUGUUCUAAUUGAAUUUUAGAGUGUAAAUUUUCCUAUAGGUGUAACUUUUAAAAAUAAACCGGUUUUAUAUGUAUUAUACAAUGCAAGCCGACUAUUGUUGCUAUCUAUUUAUUAUACAGCUUGUCAUUUUCUAACUACACUACAUCUAUAUCUAAAACUGGAACUAUGAAAAUGUUGAUGCACUACGUUCACGGUGUGGCCGUUAUAUAUGGUAAAUCCAACGAAUGAGUAAAGUGAUUUAUUUUGUAUGUAAAUAUAUUAAAUAAUUCCCCUUCACCAAGGAAUCUAGCCAACCUUAUAUUCUAGUUUUGCACUGACAAUUUCUUCAUGAUUCAGUUCAUGGAUUUAGGUCAAGAACAAAUUUGACGACUGUAGUACACCACAUUCAUAUCAAAUACCCAAAUAUUCGAAGUU